UACGGAAGGCAGCAGUGGGGAAUAUUGCACAAUGGGCGCAAGCCUGAUGCAGCCAUGCCGCGUGUAUGAAGAAGGCCUUCGGGUUGUAAAGUACUUUCAGUCGUGAGGAAGGUGUUAAGGUUAAUAACCUUAGCAAUUGACGUUAGCGACAGAAGAAGCACCGGCUAACUCCGUGCCAGCAGCCGCGGUAAUACGGAGGGUGCGAGCGUUAAUCGGAAUUACUGGGCGUAAAGGGCACGCAGGCGGUUAAUUAAGUUGGAUGUGAAAUCCCCGGGCUUAACCUGGGAAUGGCAUUCAAGACUGGUUAGCUAGAGUCUUGUAGAGGGGGUAGAAUUCCAUGUGUAGCGGUGAAAUGCGUAGGGAUGUGGAGGAAUACCGGUGGGCGAAGGCGGGCCCCCUGGGACAAAGACUGACGCUCAUGUGCGAAAGCGUGGGGAGCAAACAGGGAUUAGAUACC
rnacentral:rRNA from 1 species